AAAAGAAACAUUAAGACUGAGACCUCCAAU
rnacentral:piRNA from 1 species